GACGAACGCUGGCGGCGUGCCUAAUACAUGCAAGUAGAACGCUGAAGGAGGAGCUUGCUUCUCUGGAUGAGUUGCGAACGGGUGAGUAACGCGUAGGUAACCUGCCUGGUAGCGGGGGAUAACUAUUGGAAACGAUAGCUAAUACCGCAUAACAGUAGAUGUUGCAUGACAUUUGCUUAAAAGGUGCAAUUGCAUCACUACCAGAUGGACCUGCGUUGUAUUAGCUAGUUGGUGGGGUAACGGCUCACCAAGGCGACGAUACAUAGCCGACCUGAGAGGGUGAUCGGCCACACUGGGACUGAGACACGGCCCAGACUCCUACGGGAGGCAGCAGUAGGGAAUCUUCGGCAAUGGACGGAAGUCUUGACCGAGCAAC
rnacentral:rRNA from 1 species